rnacentral:rRNA from 1 species
AUUGAACGCUGGCGGCAGGCCUAACACAUGCAAGUCGAGCGGAUGAGAAGAGCUUGCUCUUCGAUUCAGCGGCGGACGGGUGAGUAAUGCCUAGGAAUCUGCCUGGUAGUGGGGGACAACGUUUCGAAAGGAACGCUAAUACCGCAUACGUCCUACGGGAGAAAGCAGGGGACCUUCGGGCCUUGCGCUAUCAGAUGAGCCUAGGUCGGAUUAGCUAGUUGGUGAGGUAAUGGCUCACCAAGGCGACGAUCCGUAACUGGUCUGAGAGGAUGAUCAGUCACACUGGAACUGAGACACGGUCCAGACUCCUACGGGAGGCAGCAGUGGGGAAUAUUGGACAAUGGGCGAAAGCCUGAUCCAGCCAUGCCGCGUGUGUGAAGAAGGUCUUCGGAUUGUAAAGCACUUUAAGUUGGGAGGAAGGGCAGUAAGUUAAUACCUUGCUGUUUUGACGUUACCGACAGAAUAAGCACCGGCUAACUCUGUGCCAGCCGCCGCCGUAAAAC